AGAGUUGAUCCUGGCUCAGGACGAACGCUGGCGGCGUGCCUAACACAUGCAAGUCGAACGAGAAGCUUUUAAUGAUUCCUUCGGGGAGAUUUAAAAGAUGGACAGUGGCGGACGGGCGAGUAACGGUGAGUAACCUGCCCAUAAGUGAGGGAUAGCCCAUGGAAACGUGGAGUAAUACCUCAUAUGUAUACUGAUCACAUGAUCUAUAUAUGAAAGAUUUAUCGCUUAUGGAUGGACUCGCGUCUAUUAGAUAGUUGGUGAGGUAACGGCUCACCAAGUCGACGAUCAGUAGCCGAACUGAGAGGUGAUCGGCCGCAUUGGGACUGAGACACGGCCCAGACUCCUACGGGAGGCAGCAGUGGGGAUAUUGCGCAAUGGGGGAAACCCUGACGCAGCAACGCCGCGUGCAGGAAGAAGGUCUUCGGUUGUAAACUGUUGUCGCAAGGGAAGAAGACAGUGACGGUACCUUGUGAGAAAGUCACGGCAACUACGUGCCAGCAGCCGCGGUAAUACGUAGGUGACAAGCGUUGUCCGGAUUUACUGGGGUAAAGGGCGUGUAGGCGGGAUAGCAAGUCAGUCGUGAAAUACCGAGGCUCAACCUCGGGCUGCGAUUGAAACUGUUAUUCUUGAGUAUCGGAGAGGAAAGCGGAAUUCCCAGUGUAGCGUGAAAUGCGUAGAUAUUGGGAGGAACACCAGUGGCGAAGGCGGCUUUCUGGACGACAACUACGCUGAGGCGCGAAAGUGUGGGGAGCAAACAGGAUUAGAUACCCUGGUAGUCCACACCGAAACGAUGGAUACUAGGUGUAGGAGGUAUCGACUCCUUCUGUGCCGCAGUUAACACAAUAGUAUCCCACCUGGGGA
rnacentral:rRNA from 1 species